UGAAAGUCAAAAAAAGUAUGUGUUCCAUUUCACUCCCCUGCUCCUGCACCGCUCACUUUCCCUCUGCUCUCUAAGUGGCCUCUGUGAGACGUGUGCUAUGACAUCAUACCAAGGGCUGGGGAGAAGUGAAGCAGGGCAGGUUGAAAAACUAAUG